rnacentral:rRNA from 1 species
CCUCAAUCAGGUGGGACUACCCGCUGAACUUAAGCAUAUCAAUAAGCGGAGGAAAAGAAACUAACUAGGAUUCCCUUAGUAACGGCGAGUGAAGAGGGACUAGCCCAAAUUUGUAAUCUGGCUCCUUCAGAGUCCGAGUUGUAAUCUCGAGAACAGGUUUUCCGUGUUGGACCUUGUAUAAGUCUGUUGGAAUAUAGCUUCGUAGAGGGUGAGAAUCCCGUACAUAACAAGGACUACCAAUGCUUUGUGAUACUGUCUCUAAGAGUCGAGUUGUUUGGGAAUGCAGCUCAAAUUGGGUGGUAAAUUCCAUCUAAGGCUAAAUAUUGGCGAGAGACCGAUAGCGAACAAGUACCGUGAGGGAAAGAUGAAAAGCACUUUGGAAAGAGAGUUAACAGUACGUGAAAUUGUUAAAAGGGAAACGAUUGAAGUCAGUCUUGUAGCUUUUCGUUCAACCGCAAGGUGUAUUCGGAUUGCAACAGGCCAGCAUCAAUUUUUGGUGUCGGAUAAGGGUAUUGGAAACGUAGCAAUCUCGGUUGGUUAAUGAUCCUUUACUUGAUACGAUGCGUGGGAUUGUGAGGUAGCGAGUGCCUUG